UUGUACUUAUGCUCUGCAAUGGGGUAGGACCCGGAACCUUUUGAAGGUUACACAGGUUCUCCUAUUCAACUCCUUUUCUACUACGUAUCCAAGCUUGGAUACAUGGGCCAUCUACAUCCCCUGGAGUGGGCAGAAACGAAACUGGGCUAC
rnacentral:ribozyme from 1 species